CAGCCGCCGCGGUAAUACGUAGGUCCCGAGCGUUGUCCGGAUUUAUUGGGCGUAAAGCGAGCGCAGGCGGUUAGAUAAGUCUGAAGUUAAAGGCUGUGGCUUAACCAUAGUACGCUUUGGAAACUGUUUAACUUGAGUGCAAGAGGGGAGAGUGGAAUUCCAUGUGUAGCGGUGAAAUGCGUAGAUAUAUGGAGGAACACCGGUGGCAAAAGCGGCUCUCUGGCUUGUAACUGACGCUGAGGCUCGAAAGCGUGGGGAGCAAACAGGAUUAGAUACCCCCGUAGUCCCUGUCUCUUAUACA
rnacentral:rRNA from 1 species